ensembl:snRNA U6 U6 spliceosomal RNA
GUGCUCACUUCAGCAGCACAUAAACUAGAACUGGAACAAUACAGAGAAGAUUAGCAUGGCCCCUGCACAGUGAUGACAUGCAAAUUUGUGAAGUGUUCUAUAUAUUU